AAGGAGUGAAAAGGAUAUUUGAACCAAAAGUUUAUUAGGGAAUAUUAAAUACCACGUACAAUAAAUAUUUAUGUUGAAACUCAGCCAUGUCGGAGGGCACAUACAUCAAAUCCAACGGAGGAACUAACGUCACUGAUACCGUAAAGAGGACAUUGUCUAAGUUAUUCUCUAAUAAAUUGGCGAAGAAAUAUAAUUGAGAAGGCCGUUACGGAAUGGAACCACUACGUAAUUUGCAAACAAUAAAAAUGAUUUUCAACUGCGUAGAAUAUUCAAGAUACUGAUCAUGGCAAAAUCCAUCGGAGAAUUAUAGAAAGGUUCCGACAUUCAAAGGCGAGAUAUUCAAAUGAAAAAAAGCGCAAAAUACAAGAUGACAACGCUUCUGCAGAGCAAGUCAAAAGAAAAAAUGAUCACCACUUCUCAGAAGAUAUAAGCAGAUAACAGAGAGUAAUUCUACGCAGGAAAGUCUCUUCUAAUAAAUCUUUCGGAAACAAAAACGUUAAAACUGUAGGUUUUAUAUACCUAUGGAUGUAUAUGGAAAGAUUGCUUACACGCUGACAAGUAUAUAACACGCAAAGAAGAAUUAUAAGGAAACAAGACAGGAUA
rnacentral:lncRNA from 13 species